CGCGUAGGCGGCUUGGUCAGUCGGAGGUGAAAGCCCGCAGCUCAACUGCGGAACUGCCCCCGAUACUGCCAAGCUUGAGUCCGGGAGGGGUAAUCGGAACUCCAGGUGUAGCGGUGAAAUGCGUAGAUAUCUGGAGGAACACCAGAGGCGAAGGCGGAUUACUGGACCGGUACUGACGCUAAGGCGCGAAAGCUAGGGGAGCAAACAGGAUUAGAUACCCUGGUAGUCC
rnacentral:rRNA from 1 species